UACGUAGGGUGCGAGCGUUAAUCGGAAUUACUGGGCGUAAAGCGUGCGCAGGCGGUUUUGUAAGCCAGAUGUGAAAUCCCCGGGCUUAACCUGGGAAUGGCAUUUGGGACUGCAAGGCUGGAGUGUGGCAGAGGAGACUGGAAUUCCUGGUGUAGCAGUGAAAUGCGUAGAUAUGCGGAGGAACACCGAUGGCGAAGGCAAUCCCCUGGACCUGUACUGACGCUCAUGCACGAAAGCGUGGGGAGCAAACAGG
rnacentral:rRNA from 1 species